ensembl:lncRNA
GUUCAGUGUCCAUGCUCCUCUGUGCACCCCAAGUUGCUGCAAUCUCUAUCUCUAACUAGCCUUGGACUUGUGAGGUGCCCUCUUUGCUUGAGAGGCCACUCUGUCCAUACACCCUGGGGUGUGGUAACUGAGGGGUGUCCCCAGUCAUGUUGGGAGGAAAGCAGACAGACCACAGAGUUCUGUACUGGACACAGUCUGUACAGUGCCUGACUCACAGCACUGGAGGAUUGUCCAUCCUUGUUCCCAGAGAGGGGCUAGGCCAGCCAAACCCCUCACUUCAUACUCUGACAAUGGAUCGAAGGGGCCUGGAGCAAACUGCAAUACCCCUGUCCGUGGACAUCUCCAUGUUCUGUGAGGAACCCGGUAUGAACAUGGAUGUCACAGUGAGCUCCAGGCCUUCGACUUUUGGCUGGGUCCUCCAGCGCUUCAGCAUGCACACAGACCUUUCCCAUUCUUCCACCGCUGACUCUACAGGUGGCCAUUUUACUGCAGACUCCACUUGUGAAAUAAAGUACUGGGGAUUGAACUCAAAGCUCUCUCACUGAGCUACAUCUCUAGACCUUUUCUAAAAAUUGUUUGUUUUGAAACAAGUUCUCGCUAAGUUGCUAAAUUGCCCAGACUGGGCCAAACUUGGAAUCCUCCUGCCUCAGCCUCCCACAGUGUUGGAAUUGCAGGUGUGUAACACCAUGUCUUAAUACUUUAUUCUUUUUUUGUG